ensembl:lncRNA
GCUCAGAGCAGAUUCGUGUUUAAAAGCGACUCAGCUCACUUCUGUUUUCGCCGGGCGCGGUGGCGCGUGCCUGUAAUCCAAGCUACUGGGAGGCUGAGGCUGGCGGAUCGUUUGAGCUCAGGGGUUCUGGGCUGCAGUGGGCUAUGCCGAUCGGGUGUCCGCACUAAGUUCGGUAUCGAUAUGGUGCUCCUGAGGGAGCUCGGGGCCACCAGGUCGCCUAAGGAGGGGCUGGCGGAUCGUUUGAGCUCAGGGGUUCUGGGCUGCAGUGGGCUAUGCCGAUCGGGUGUCCGCACUAAGUUCGGUAUCGAUAUGGUGCUCCUGAGGGAGCUCGGGACCACCAGGUCGCCUAAGGAGGGGUGAACCGGCCCAGGUCGGGAACGGAGCAGGUCAAAGCCCUCGUGCCGAUCAGUAGUGGGAUCGCGCCUGUGAAUAGACACUGCCGUGCAGCCUGAGUAAUACAGCGGGACUCAGUCUUUUACACUUACUUUUUAACAAACCACUUCAACAACACACUGUCCUUUCAC